GUCCUUGUUCCUUGCACAGGGGGUUUAGUCAGGCAACGAGCGAGACCCACACUCUUAAUUGCCAGCAUCGCGUUCGCGCGGAUGGGUACAUUAGGAGGACUGCCGCUGCUAAAGCGGAGGAAGGAAUGGGCAACGGUAGGUCAGUAUGCCCCGAAUGUGCUGGGCUACACGCGGGCUACAAUGGUCAGGACAAUGGGUUCCUACCUCGAAAGAGGAUGGUAAUCUCAGAAACCUGGUCGUAGUUCGGA
rnacentral:rRNA from 1 species